rnacentral:rRNA from 1 species
UACGGAGGGUGCAAGCGUUGUUCGGACUCACAGGGCGUAAAGCGCGUGUCGGCGGCUUGGCAAGUCGAGUGUGAAAUCCCAGGGCUCAACCCUGGAACUGCACCCGAAACUGCCUCGCUGGAGUCCCGGAGAGGGUGGCGGAAUUUCCGGUGUAGAGGUGAAAUUCGUAGAUACCGGAAGGAACACCAGUGGCGAAGGCGGCCACCUGGACGGUGACUGACGCUGAGACGCGAAAGCGUGGGGAGGAAACAGG